UACGGAGGGUGCAAGCGUUAUCCGGAUUCACUGGUUUAAAGGGUGCGUAGGUGGGCUAGUAAGUCCGUGGUGAAAUCCCCGAGCUUAACUCGGGAACUGCCGUGGAUACUAUUAGUCUUGAAUAUCGUGGAGGUAAGCGGAAUAUGUCAUGUAGCGGUGAAUGCUAGAUAUGACAUAGAACACCGAUAGCGGAGGCAGCUACUACGCGAUUAUUGACACUGAGGCACGAAAGCGUGGGGAUCAAACAGG
rnacentral:rRNA from 1 species